rfam:Oryza meridionalis cultivar OR44 (W2112) chromosome 2, whole genome shotgun sequence.
GAUCAGACAACGACAGAGUUUCCAUGUCCAAUGUUUGACCGUUCAUCUUAUCUGAAAAUUUAUAAAAAAAAUUAAAAAUUAAGUCACGUAUAAAAUACUAUUUAUAUUUUAUCAUCUAAUAAUAAUAAAAAUAUUAAUCAUUAUAAAGUUUCAAAUAAGACAGACAGGUAAACGUUGGAUAUUAAAACCCACGACUGCGCUUAUU